GGUAGCUUUGCUCUGAACAACAGCUCAAGAUUGACAGUUAACAGCACUCUGAUUCUACUGCACAGCCACACCAAACUCCAUCUUCUAUUUAUCAAGAAAAGGCUCGUUAGUUAUUUCCAAGCAAAUAUUCAUAGCCAUGACUUUUUUCCCACUGAUGCUUCGAUCGGUAGCGAGGCUGGUGAUACCGCUGGUGGAUGAACCGGCGGCGUCGGUGAGCAGCAUACUUUACUACAGCCGUCUGCUCCCACGGAAUCUCAACUUGGAGCGAUUGGUUCGCUCUGAAUUCCUCCAUCCAGAAAACUAUUUGUUCCACUUUCUCGUCAACAUCUUGACUUGUUUCUGGUAGACACAGUUUGUUAGGAAAAAGGCAUGUAGCGUACUGUUUUUGAGAACAGAGCAAGCUCUGUUUUUUGGUAAUGUAUAAAUUAUUUUAUUUCCAA